rnacentral:rRNA from 1 species
UUGGACCUACGGGGCGCAGCAGUGAGGAAUAUUGGUCAAUGGGCGGGAGCCUGAACCAGCCAAGUCGCGUGAGGGAAGACGGUCCUAUGGAUUGUAAACCUCUUUAGGCGGGGAGCAAUGCCGGGCACGCGUGCCCGGAGGGAGAGUACCCGCAGAAUAAGCAUCGGCUAACUCCGUGCCAGCAGCCGCGGUAAUACGGAGGAUCCAAGCGUUAUCCGGAUUUAUUGGGUUUAAAGGGUGCGUAGGCGGAUUGAUAAGUUAGAGGUGAAAUGUCCGGGCUCAACUCGGGAACUGCCUCUAAUACU